rnacentral:rRNA from 1 species
UGAGUAACACGUGGGGUAACCUGCCCAUAAGACUGGGAUAACUCCGGGAAACCGGGGCUAAUACCGGAUAACAUUUUGAACUGCAUGGUUCGAAAUUGAAAGGCGGCUUCGGCUGUCACUUAUGGAUGGACCCGCGUCGCAUUAGCUAGUUGGUGAGGUAACGGCUCACCAAGGCAACGAUGCGUAGCCGACCUGAGAGGGUGAUCGGCCACACUGGGACUGAGACACGGCCCAGACUCCUACGGGAGGCAGCAGUAGGGAAUCUUCCGCAAUGGACGAAAGUCUGACGGAGCAACGCCGCGUGAGUGAUGAAGGCUUUCGGGUCGU